rnacentral:rRNA from 1 species
UACGUAGGGUGCGAGCGUUAAUUCGGAAUUACUGGGCGUAAAGCGUGCGCAGGCGGUUCGCCAAGUCAGGUGUGAAAUCCCCGGACUUAACCUGGGAAUUGCGCUUGAAACUAGCGGGCUUGAGUGUGGCAGAGGGGGGUGGGAAUUCCGCGUGUAGCAGUGAAAUGCGUAGAUAUGCGGAGGAACACCGAUGGCGAAGGCAAUCCCCUGGGCCUGUACUGACGCUCAUGCACGAAAGCGUGGGGAGCAAACAGG